rnacentral:rRNA from 1 species
AGAGUUUGAUCCUGGCUCAGAGCGAACGCUGGCGGCACGCCUAACACAUGCAAGUCGAGCGAGAAAGUGACUUCGGUCGCGAGUAAAGCGGCGAACGGGUGAGUACAACGUGGAUAAUCUACCCUAAGGUCUGGGACAACCCCGAGAAAUCGGGGCUAAUACCGGAUAAGACCACAGUAUCCAAGGAUACAGCGGUAAAAGAUUUAUCGCCUUUGGAUGAGUCCACGCCCCAUCAGGUAGUUGGUAAGGUAAAGGCUUACCAAGCCUAAGACGGGUAGCCGGCCUUAGCGGGUGAACGGCCACAUGGGGACUGAGACACGGCCCUGACUCCUACGGGAGGCAGCAGUGGGGAAUAUUGGGCAAUGGGCGAAAGCCUGACCCAGCGAUGCCGCGUGAGGGAUGAAGGCCUUCGGGUUGUAAACCUCUGUCAGGAGGGACGAUGGGACUUUGUCUUGACGGUACCUCCAGAGGAAGCCCCGGCUAACUCCGUGCCAGCAGCCGCGGUAAUACGGAGGGGGCAAGCGUUGCUCGGAAUUACUGGGCGUAAAGGGUCCGCAGGCUGUCAGGCAAGUUGGUUGUGAAAUCCCAAGGCUUAACCUUGGAAUUGCAUCCAAAACUGCCUGACUAGAGU